rnacentral:lncRNA from 1 species
AUCUUUGGGAGAGUGGUUGCCGGUCCUUGCCUUGUUUCUCAGGUCCCCGCCCCACACUGCAGGCAAUCUGGGUCCUUCUGGAGGCAUCUUGUUGCCACUUAGCAAACCCCGACCCUUAGAGCAUGACAUCAGCUGAGCAACAAAGACAGAGAGGACAGGUUCCUGACAGAGACAAGACAUUGGGUGAGUCAAGGUGAAUCUGAUCUGUCUUUUAUGCUGCAGUUUCAGGUGACUUCGUGUGAGGGUGCACUAGCCUCGGAUAAUCCACCCCACUCCACCGCCCCCCCCCCCCUUCCACAAGCUGCUAUUUGAAACACAGCCUGAUUCAAUGUACAGAAACAAAACAGUGUGUUCAAGAUCUGGUAUAUUUUCAGGUCCAUAAUGCCAACUCUACGGGUGGCCUGUUUAAUGGGGAAAAAAUUAAAUACCCCAGCCAAGACCUAUGGAAACCAAAGAGGGUUAGCGAUUUAUUUACACUGGGGUGGAAGGGGUGAGCAAUAUUUCUUUCUUGCUCACUAUUUCCUGAAGGCUUCCUAGACAUAAACCUUGGUUAAUAUCCCAGAAAGAAGACAUAUUUUUCUCCAUGGUUUUCAAUAUUUUCUGCUAAAUAUAUUCCUGUGAACUGUUUACCCA